UGCAGGCUGNAACCCGCCUGCAUGAAGCCGGAAUCGCUAGUAAUCGCGCAUCAGCCAUGGCGCGGUGAAUACGUUCCCGGGCCUUGUACACACCGCCCGUCAAGCCAUGGGAGCCGGGGGUGCCUGAAGUUCGUUACCGCAAGGAUCGACCUAGGGCAAAACUGGUGACUGGGGCUAAGUCGUAACAAGGUAUC
rnacentral:rRNA from 1 species